CCCUUGAAAAUGUCCGGCUCACCACAGAGAUGUGGUCUCUUCCCUUCGGGGACCGGAACACAGGUGCUGCAUGGCUGUCGUCAGCUCGUGUCGUGAGAUGUUGGGUUAAGUCCCGCAACGAGCGCAACCCUCGCCCUUAGUUGCCAGCAUUCAGUUGGGCACUCUAAGGGGACUGCCGGUGAUAAGCCGAGAGGAAGGUGGGGAUGACGUCAAGUCCUCAUGGCCCUUACGGGCUGGGCUACACACGUGCUACAAUGGUGGUGACAGUGGGCAGCGAAGGAGCGAUCCCGAGCUAAUCUCCAAAAGCCAUCUCAGUUCGGAUUGCACUCUGCAACUCGAGUGCAUGAAGUUGGAAUCGCUAGUAAUCGCGGAUCAGCACGCCGCGGUGAAUACGUUCCCGGGUCUUGUACACACCG
rnacentral:rRNA from 1 species